GGGAGGUGCUGUCGGAUUUUUGACCAUUUGUUGGGGAUUUCACUCAUUCGAGUAUUCUAAAGGUUGUUAAAUAUGGGUAAUAGAGCAUGUAUGUAUGGCAUACGGAGACAUUCGCAUACUUUCAUGUCAGACGCUACGAAGAAGCACGCUCACGUUUGCAACAAUAUUGUAUGGGACGAUACUGAUGUCAUCAAGAGGUAUUUGAUAAAGCGAGGGUUUGUGGAUGGAUACACAAUUUGGUCCCACCACUGUGAGGCAGGAGGUACUUUCAACAACACAGACAUCGACAGUGACCGUGACGAAGUGGGUGGUGAUGAUGUAAAUGAAAAUGAUCAUGUUAUCACACGGAUAUGUUACUUCUUCAACGUGAUUUUGUAGAAAGUGAUCGAUUGUGUCGAGUUGGCUAGGCUUCAACUGUUUGUACUGGAAAUUUAGGCCCAGCUCAAUAUGUGCUUCCCUUCGUCCUUUUUCAA